AACGAACGCUGGCGGCAGGCCUAACACAUGCAAGUCGAGCGCCCUUUCGGGGGAGCGGCGGACGGGUGAGUACCGCGUGGGAAUAUGCCCUUCUCUACGGAAUAGCCUCGGGAAACUGAGAGUAAUACCGUAUACGCCCUGUGGGGGAAAGAUUUAUCGGGGAAGGAUUAGCCCGCGUUGGAUUAGGUAGUUGGUGGGGUAAUGGCCUACCAAGCCGACGAUCCAUAGCUGGUUUGAGAGGAUGAUCAGCCACACUGGGACUGAGACACGGCCCAGACUCCUACGGGAGGCAGCAGUGGGGAAUCUUAGACAAUGGGGGCAACCCUGAUCGAGCCAUGCCGCGUGAGUGAUGAAGGCCUUAGGGUUGUAAAGCUCUUUCAGCUGGGAAGAUAAUGACGGUACCAGCAGAAGAAGCCCCGGCUAACUCCGUG
rnacentral:rRNA from 1 species